rnacentral:lncRNA from 1 species
CAAUUUAGGCUUCUGCAUUCUCUUGAAAAUUUGAAAAACCUGGCAAUGCUGGUCAGUGUUCGCACAUGUCAACAACAGGCUGACGCUGAGCGGCAUCUGCUCCCUUUGAACCAGACAUGAACUUCCAAUUUACCCCAGUCCCCACUACUCCCUAAUGUGCUUUAAAAUACCUGCUCAAUAUCUGAGCUUGUGAUAAUUAUAUUAUUUAAAUAAAUAUUUACUGCAUUUAUAUUUAUUUAUAACAGUCAUUGCAAACUCAAAAUAUUGAGCACAAUUCCAGGGCUAGGUGGUAUCUAUUGUAACUCAAAUAAGUAAAAAAUUACAGCACUCUCACAAACAGGCAGCAGGGAUUUAAGCUGAUAAGCUGUUUGAAGAGCAAGAUGAUGGUAGGUAUUAAGUUUUAAAAAGAUAAAAUUCAUGUAAGCCAAGAGUUCUAGACAUUGAUCCGAAGAAAAUAUCUGAAGAAGUUCACUAAAAUGUUUAUAAAGAUAUUCAUCAUUGUGUUGUGUAAAAUAGGAAAUGAGAACAACAAAAUGUUCACUCUCAAAGCAUGAUUGAACAUACUGUAGCACAACCAAAAACUGUUUCUGCAGCCAUCAAAAUGGUAAAGUAGAUCUACAUGUAAUGCAAGAAAAAAGUCCAAGACAAAAUUGUUAGGCAUAAUGAACAAUCUCACCAAAACAGUAUGUGUUGUACUAUCCUAUUUUCACAAGAAAAAGACCCUCCCAAAAAAGUCUACAAAAAAAAAAAGUGUAUUUAUGUGUGUGUGUAUAUAUAUACUAAAUAUAUAUAUAAACAUAUAUAUAUACACACACACAUAUAUAAACGUCUGGGUAAGAAUAGAGUAACACAUGUAUUUCUCUGAGGUGGGAUUAUGGGCAAUGUGGAUACAUUUUCCUUUCAUAUAUUCGCAUCUUUCUAUACUGUACACACUGUUUAAAUGAGGGAAGAAAAUUAAAGUUCACCAUGAAAAAAACAUGAGCUGUGGAAGCAGAGCCCAAAUGGAAAGUGAUUGAUAGUCAUACAAGGUCACAAGACUAUCUGGAGUUUUUACAAAUUCGAAACCAAAAAAUCUAGAUGCCUAUGCUUUCUUAAAAGAAAUUACACACACACACACUCCAACACCAAAGAAAGUCCUUUUUCAACAACUUGAUCUUGAUCUUGGGUUCUGAAUUCUGAAUGAAGUCACACAGACUUAAACAAGCUGAUAGGUGGAGGAGGAAAUGAAGAGGUUCUCCCUCUCAGAUGUAAAUUCCUUCACUUGGCCAAGAAUCCAGGUGGUAAAAUACUGACUCUAUUUAAAUCCAGCCAAAGUGAUGCCUGCUGUGGCCGCAUUACAUAAGCAACAGGCUCCAUCACAGUGCACAUCUGGUCAGAAUAAAGGCCCUCUAAGACCUUCAACACAAUUAAUUCAAUAUUUUCUCUACAGUUCAAAAUGCUACAACAACUGGCAGACAACCAUCUUAAAUCAUCACAGAAAGUCAGACAUAUGGCUAAGUAUAUUUAAUAUGCUUUAAAAAUAAGCUGCGGAUUUCUAGCCAACAAGAUCUUAGGCAAGAAUUUUUCUUAUUUAUUUAAAAGUUAUGCCUACCCAUUACCUCAAAAGAAUUCAAUUCAAAAGUGAUUUCUUGAGUACCUAGAGAGGGCAGGGAUUACAAAGAGACAUAAAACAGGGAUGUUGCCUUCAAGAAUUCAAGAAACACAUAAUCCAGUAGAGGAGACACUACUGUGACUCCUGAAAUCAUGAUGUGCGUAGGGGAAAAAAAAGAGAGGGACAAAGAGGAGGAAGCAAAUCAACAACCUUGGGUGAGGAAGACCAGGGAGAACAAUAGAAGGCAAGUUAAGUGGAAUGGCUUAAAUACACAGCAGCAUGCUUCAACAAACACUUUGACACAAUAUUGUAAAUCGACUAUAUACUUUCAUAUAAAUAAAUAAGGUCUUAAAAAAACACUUUGGGAAUCCAUUUUUGAAAUUUGUGGGCCUUUCUUUGGUGGGGUCCCCAGGCAUAUUACACUAUCUCACACAGCAAUGGUACAGCCUAAGAUAUAGGUACAUCCACACACACACAGUAAAAGGAUGGGGGGGAGGAGGAACUAUAGUCAACACACUUUGAGUGUGGAAACCUAGGAUAAGGAUUUUAGAACCAAGCAGAUCAGAACUUGAAUCUCAUCUGUGUCAGCGGCCUGGGGGCCAGGAUAAAUUAUGUAACCUCUCCAGCUGAUUUUCUCAUGACUAAAAUGAGAAUGACAUCACCCUACCUAGGCAAAACCCUAACCUGGGUCUCAGGAACAGGUCAGAAGACAGUCUAUAGUAACAGUUAUGACUAUUAGUUUACCAGUCCUAAUUCAGAUGCCCGGUCUCAACCAUGAAGUUAAAACCUUAGACCUGGGUGUCUCAACUUCAGCCUGAGUGCCAGUGGGGGUGGCUGCCUCUCUGUCAUGGGGGAGCUGUAUUGUGCUUUUAGGAUGUUUAGCAGUAUCCCUGGCCUCCAUUCCCUUAAUAUCCCCAGCACCCCCCUAUUCUGGGUUGUAACAACCAACAAUGUUUCCAGAUAUUCCCAAAUGUCCCCAGGGGUCAAAAAUCACCCCCAGUUGAAAAUCACUGUUUAGAGGAACUCUUUGAUGGGUCUUCAUUUCUCAAGUAAAAAUUAUCAUGGCUCCUAGUAGGCAGGUAGAUAAGCACUAGAGACAUACAAGCAGAGGACAGAGUAUUUUGCAUACAUUUUCUCUUUUAAUCCUCACAACCCCUCCAUGAAGUAGGUACUAUCCUCAUUUUCAACUGGGACAAUGGAGGUUCUGGGAAGUUAACAUGCCCAUGGUUCUUCAGCUAGAGUCAGACCCAACCAGUGGGCCUCCAAACCCGUAUAACACCAAGUCCCACUGCCUCCCUAUCCUUUGCUGACUUGGAAGCCCAGGUGUGGUGCCAGGAAGGGCAGAGGACUUUGGCAUCAAGUCCUCAAGCAUCACCCUUGCUGGUACUGGCCUGUGCAGAAGCCCAGGAAGAGGAGCUAUCCUCAUUCUAUACCUUACUGGCCCUGGGUGCCAGUGACAAUCAUUAUAAUCAAUUCAUCACCAGCAACAAUGCAGAGAGAAGUUCAGGCGGCUCAGCCUUCCACCAACAUACCAUGAGAUCUAGAGCUUUCCUUCUUACUUGUCUGAACUAAUCCAGUCUCAGCCUUCUUCAAAAGUAGCAUCUAUGUCAGGCCAAAAAAAUGAGGGCUUUUUCCAGACUUGAAAAGCUCUCCUGAGAACUGUGAACCACAGUCUCUAUCUCUCAAGAGAUUCUUUCUUCUCUCCCAAGUGCUUUCUAAUAGGGAACAUGCAACCUACAACAGAAGCUAAUAUUUUUGGGAGCACUCACCAAAUGCCAGGCCCUGUGCCAUGUGGUUGACUUCGAUCUCUUCAUUUUAUUCUUCCAUCACCUCCAGAAGUAGAUAUCAUUAUCCCUAUUGGCAGAAGGAGAAGUCCUAGCACAGGGAGGUGCAGUAUCUCACCCUGAGUCACCCAGCUGAAAAGGCUGGCUUCUAAUUCAGGCCAACCUGAGUCCAAAACCUGUCAAUCUACAACACAUCGAUAAAUGGAUAUAUCUUUUUUUUUUUUUUUGGUCUUUUUGAGAGGGAGAGACAUACUAUUUCAUUAUUUAUUUAUCUUUUUAGGGCCACACUCACGCCAUAUGUAAGUUCCCAGGCUAGGGGUCAAAUCAAAGCUGGCAGCUGCCGGCCUACACCACACCUCAGAGCAACUCGGGAUCCUUAACUCACUGAGCGGGGCUAGGGAUCAAACCUGCACCCUCAUAGAUGUUAGCUGAGUUCUGAACCCACUGAACCACAAGGGGAAUUCCAAAAUGGAUAUACUCUGGAUUAUCUUCCCAGCAGCACUGGAGUCCUGUUAACACUGUAUGUAGCAAUAAUUUUGAAAUAUGGUUUAUAAUCAGGGCAUAAUGGCCUUUUAGUUGCACCAUCUUACCCCUGUCCAUAAAGAGAGCUUCCAGUCUCAUCUCACAAUGAAGAGGCUGAAAGAUUAGCCUUAUUGUGGAAAAUAUAACUGCAUCCCAUUAAAGGCGCACACUAAUGCCUCUGUUGGCAAUAACAGUGGGGCUGACACCUUUGCCGGGAGAAUGUAAUUCUCUUACGUAACUCAUUUGCACCACACUGCAGAUGGUAACAGCAAAAGUCUCUACACACAGCUUACAGAGCCUGGAAGAACCUCUUACAGUCCACUGGAGGGUGAGAGAGUGUGCAAAAGUUCCCUGACACACUCUGCACAGUGUGCUGCCCUAAAUCCCUAAAAUAAAGACCAAUGGAAAUAGCCUAGCAAUGCUCACUGUCUUCAAGACUAUUCCCAGAUCAAUAGUGAAGCUCUCUUUAGCCCAAGCCCUAGACUGCAAAUGUUAACCUCUUAUCAAGCUUAAUGCAAUCCAAUACAAAGUACCUACAUUUGCAGAGUUUCAAACAUUAGAAUUUUCAGAGACAAACAAGCUCAGGAGAGAUGUAUGCUAGUUCUAAAUUUGACAGUGGACAUUCAAGACACUAGAGCAGGAGUUCCCAUUGUGGCUCAGCGAUAAUGAACCUGACUAUGAUCCAUGAGGAUUCGGGUUCAAUCCCUGGCCUCGCUCAGUGGGUUGGGGAUCCGGCAUGGCCAUGAGCUCUGGUAUAGGUCACAGACGAGGUUCAGACCCCACGUUGCUGUGGCUGGCAGCUGCAGCUCUGAUUCAACUCCUAGGCUGGGAACUUUCAUAUGCUGCUGGUGUGGCCUUCAAAAGAAAAAAGGAGAAGAAAAAGAAGAAAAAAAUACUUCAGGAACAGAUCAACAACAGCCCGGCCCUCUCAGAGCUUAUAUUCGAGAAAGAGGAAAAAAGAAGGAACUCUAGUUAUACUGAAACAAUGUACAUAUUAUAAAGCAAAGCAGAGAAAGGGAAUAAUGAAUGAGGACAAGACAACUGGGAAAGACUUUAAAUUCAUAAGGGAGUAACCUUGCCAGAUGUCCAGGUGGGGAUCAGCAAGCCAUGGAUGUGGAAAGACAAGUCACAAGUCACCAGGCAGAUCAUGGCCGUGGGCAGGGGGUGGAGUUGGUUGAUAAAGGGAGCUUUGGAGUUCCUGAGAAGACUGUGGUUUUCAUUCUGAGAGGGACUAGAAAAAUGAUUCUAAGUAAUGGAUUACUC